GCGGGCUGCCCGGCUCCCGGCUCCCGGCCCCUGAGGGCGAGCGGGGCUGCAGGGGGCUCCUGGCCAGGGCCCGGCACCGGCACCGGCACCGGCACCGGCACCUCCCCCUCCCCUGCGCGGGGCCUCGUGGCCGCAGAGAGCCAGGAGGAGGAGACCCGACACCCCAUCGGGUGAUGCUGGUCACCACCGCGGGGUCCUGCGAUCAAACCCGGCAUCAGGCUCCUGCGUGGAGCCCGCUUCUCCCUCUGCCUGGGUCUCUGCCUCUCUUUCUCUGUGAGUGUGUGACUAUCAUAAAUAAAUAAAAGUCAAAUAAAAAAAAAAAAAACAGAUGUACAAGUGGUAGCUGGGUGACUGUUACACGUAACAGGAUUCACCUGAAGCCCCCAAAGCCAGACAACACAUCCGGGCCCGGGCGCUUCACCCCUCCAGGGGGCACCAUCUGCAGCAUGUUCUAUAGCCUCACGCGUUUCGCGUGUGUAUUCUACGAGCCGUGCCCCUGAGAGUGAUGCCGCGGAGCAAUUCUGAAUAGAUGCCUCGUUCUAAAGGCAGGCAUGAGAUCACAUAUCACGCAGGAUUUGCAAAAGGGACAUCUGAAAUGUGCUUUCCGUGCCUUUAGCCAAUCUCUACCUUAAAUGGACGAAAGGGUGGAAGGUAUAAGAUUUCUCUGAAGAGAGUUGUUGACAUCCUAUGGCAUUUUCCCCUCUCUCAAGAGAGGAAGUGUUUUCCAGGGGACUGCUCAGAGAAUCUUUGAUAUCUGGGGUUUGGGAAGCAUAAGACAUGCUGUGAGAAGCUGUGGCAGGCAGAGACAAAGGGAAGGACAAGGCUGCAGAGGCAGCAGGCCACAUUUCCAACACCUGUCGGGGGACACAUGUGUGACUUUCCCCUGAGGGCUAACUGAACCUGUAGGAAUGGACGUGAAGCUCAAGAGAGCUGCCUGGAGAAGCUAAAUGACACAGCAGGUAGGCUCCCAAAGAACCCUGUUGUAUCCUUACCUUCUAAGCAGAGAGACAUCACCUGCCUCAGGUGAGUUACACCUGGAGAAUACCAACAGAAGACUCUCCAACAUACCCAUGGAAGGUAGACCCUCGGAGAACCAGCCCUGCAACACGACUGGACUAGAGAGCGCCAGAAUCAGACCCCAGGGGACCAGCCAGAUGAAGACUGGGAAAAACAAAACAAAAAAAAAAAACAUCACUUUUGCAGACUCCCUUGGAGAGAGAGAGAGAGAGAGAGAGCGCGCCAUGAGCCCUGGUUCUGCCUGGGGAGAUGUAAGUGGAAGUCCCAUGUAGGAACUCUUUAAAAGAGAAAGGCCUGACUGGCAUGUGCUCUUCUUCCUCCUGGGACAUGGACAUGAUGCUGAAAAGGCAGCAAUGCAUAAUGAAGAUGAAAGCUUCAUGCUACGGCUAUUGAAACAUAUCAGGAGGAGAUGGGAUCCUUAAUGACAAUGCUGGACACUUGGCUGCCCAGAACAAGGACUCCUCAGCCUCCCUGGAACUUAGAUGUGACCAUAUGCUUGUGUUCUGGCCAAUGGCAUAUACACAAAAGUGUCCUUACAGGAGGUGGUACAUUCUUCUUGCUCUUCUUCCUUCCUGUUGGCUGGACUGGGGACUCAAUGGCUGGGGUUUGAGCAGCCACACUGAACCAUGAGAAGAGAGUCACAUAUUGAAGUUGUCAGCAUGAAAAGAGAGAAGUAUCUUGAGUCCAUAGUAAGGAGCACCAAACUAGCCAAAACCGUGACUCUAGAUUUCUUACAAGGGAGAGAAAUAAACAUCUAACUCAUUUGUUUUUGGUUCUUUGUUCCUUAUGGCCAAAUCCAAUCCUAACUGAUAUAUCCCCAUUAGGUAUCUCUUGCUACAAACAAGUUGCCCCAUAAUCUAGUGACUUGAAACGGUAAACAUUUAUUAUCACUCACAGUUUGUGUAGAACAGAAAUUCAGCAACAGUAUGGCUGGGCACUUCUGCUGGGAAUCAUUCUUGCUACUGGAGUCCUUCUGCUGGCGGGGAUAGCAAUCAUUUGAGGGAGGCUCAGAGAUUGCUCCCUCCCUCACAGAGAGGGAGGCUCAUUUUGUAAAGGCAGCUCACUCUCAUGACUGUGUGGCAAUUAGCAGGAGGCUUCUGUUCUUCUCCACGUAGACCUCUUCCGUAACUACUUGGAUGUUCUCACGAUAGGCUGCUGAUGCGCAACCCCUCAACCCUACUCCCUUGCCACCAGAACAAGGGGUCCUAGAGAACAGGAUAGAGUGAGUGAUAUCUUUCAUGGGCUAACCAUCAAAGUCACACAGUCAAUUCUGCAGUAUCUUAUUGGCCACAAAGGCCUAUUCAGUGUGGAAACACAAAGAGGUAUGAGUACCAGUAGAUAAGGAUCAUUUGGGGGCCGUCUUAGAGGCUGGCUACCACACUCCUUGCUCUCCUAACAGCCCCCUGACUUGUUCAAGUGGCAGGUAGUAAUCCCUCAAAAUCAGGAAACAAUAUAUUCAUACAACACCCUCUGGGACAAAUCAUAUUCCUUUUAUUUUAUUUUAUUUUUUUCAUAUUCCUUUUAGACCAGCCAUUGUUGUCAUUAAAUUUGUUGGCCUUACCUUACCCUGUUUUUCUCAAUUUACCCGACUCAGAAAGCAGUUUGGAGACAAGGAGGCUCACAGUUAAACAUCCUCUUUUUUUUUCCCUCUGAAUUUCCUACAGCUUCUAAGCUGAGCAACAAUCAUUGAAUUUUAUGCUUUUGUCAAAAUAAGCUGUCAGAAACUGGUCCAGAUCUAUUAGAAUGCAACAUCAUUCUCGCUGCCCCAGCAUUCACCUUAUGGUGCAGGGACCAGAGGGGGCCUGGCAAACAGACAUAAAUCCAGAGAUCUAUAAUUCUCUAUCCCCUGAAGAAGUGGCCAUAAAGUCCAUCACUCCAGAUAUAUGGGAAAAGGGAGACAAAGGACAACCUGGAUGAGUUUCAGAGGGACUGUAAAAUAGAAAAAGAGAUCUCACUAACUGUGUUGGCCUCAUUAUAAGCAAGCCAGGCAGGGACGUGAUUUACGGUUGAGCGCAGCCUGGCCGGCAGCCAUGAAUGUCACUCUCUCUCCCAAGCCCGCCAUCUUGAGUGCUCAUCAGCCCCUGUGAGUGAUGCUGAUGGCUCUUGGGGAGAUGGCGCCGCACUUGGAGCCUGAGCAAGAGAACAUGGCCCGGUGGUUGUGGGUGUUUAAGAACAGACUACACCAGAAAAAUGUUCUCAGUCCAGCUGCCCAGAAUCUGCCGGGACCCCUGAGUUCCAUUACCUACAGAAGAGAGCCAUUUUGCAUCUGCACACAGGCUUCAGGCUUGCUUUCUUCAGUCUCCCUCCCUGUGUCCUUGCUUCCCUGGACCUCCUUCCUGUCGGUGAAACUGAUCACGGGUUUUCUUGUUAACAAGGUCUGCGAUUUCUAUUUGAAGCUGGCUGAAACAAGACAAUGCUCUAUAUUUUAAAGAAGCAGGGGCAUUAAGAAAGAUGGCCAAGAAUUCUUCAAAAUGCCUGGAGAAAAUAAUUGUGAAUAUGGAAAUUUAUACUACCUGGUCAUGGGUUCCUAUAUACAAUAUAAGACUGGGAAUUCAUGGAGGCUGCUUCAAGUAUAGCCCUGAAUAGUGAUGUGCCACUUACUUUGGCUGCAUAACAAAUUACCCCAAAAUGUAGUGGCAUAAAAUAUCCAUUUAUUAUGCUCAUAGAUUUUGUGGGUAAAGAACCUGUGCAGAGCACAGCAGGAAUGACUUACCUCUUCCUCAAUACCUGUCUCUUCAAUGGAAAGUCUUGAAGACUAGGCAUUGGAAUCAUCUGAAGUUUCCUUUACUCACAUGACAUAAUUGAUGCUCUCAUGUCACUGACACCCUGGCAGGGGCUGAUGGCCAGCUGUGAC